GAAAAGACUUAGAUUAGGAAAAGUAACUUAGACUUAACUUUUAGAGAAUAGCUGGUUGGUGCAAAGCUAUAGGGAAGCUAAGAGAAGAUCACCUAGGAGUUGGAAACUGAAAGGCAUUUAUGUUUAUUAAGUUGUCACGUGGCCUGCGUUAAAGGAUAGAGUAUGUAAGUACUUGAACUAAACACUAUUUAAAAAAGAGUGUUAGCCUUAGGUGGUUUGCGAUUUUAACUUCGUCCUGUGG
rnacentral:ncRNA from 1 species